CGUGCCCCGAGCCCUUUGCCCGCCUCCUGGAGGGUGAGCCGGGGCCCCGUGACGAGGGUAGGCUCAGCUUGGAGUGGCAGGGACCUGUGGGCCCAGACCUUCCCCCUUCACACCUAUCCAUACCAGUGGGCCCAGGAGUGAGGAAGAAGGGGCUGGAACCCACUGGACUCUAAACAGCCUCCCCAUGGUUGGCUCCAUCCCCCACAUCCCAGCCCUUGUUUGGGCCAGGCCCAGAGCUCUCAGGACAACCUGUUAGGAUUCCUUGGCCCUGGGAUUCCACCUUGAUCCUGAUUCCACUACCAGCCCCUCCUCGGGGUGCAGGUCCUGGGGUUUCUCUCCCAGCGUUUCACUGAGUGGAAUUGGCCAGGAGCUUGGCUUUGAAUCCAUUCCCCUCAGCUCCAUAGCAGCUGUUUGUCUGCCAUCCCCAGAAAUUCUGCCUUCCUCUGAGCAGGCUGAGUCCCCAGAGCAUGACCACUGACACCUCCAUGCCCCACCACUGUCCUUCCUCCUCCCACCCCAGAAUGCUGGGACCCAGACCCCCAUGGGCGGCCAGAUUUCGGUAGCAUCUUGAAGCGGCUUGAAGUCAUCGAACAGUCAGCCCUGUUCCAGAUGCCACUGGAGUCCUUCCACUCACUGCAGGAAGACUGGAAGCUGGAGAUUCAGCACAUGUUUGAUGACCUUCGGACCAAGGAGAAGGAGCUUCGGAGCCGUGAGGAGGAGCUGCUGCGGGCGGCACAGGAGCAGCGCUUCCAGGAGGAGCAGCUGCGGCGGCGGGAGCAGGAGCUGG
rnacentral:sRNA from 1 species